rnacentral:rRNA from 1 species
UACGUAGGGUGCAAGCGUUGUCCGGAAUUAUUGGGCGUAAAGAGCUCGUAGGCGGUUUGUUGCGUCGGAUGUGAAAUCCCGAGGCUCAACCUCGGGUCUGCAGUCGAUACGAGCAAACUAGAGUGUUGCAGGGGAGACUGGAAUUCCUGGUGUAGCGGUGAAAUGCGCAGAUAUCAGGAGGAACACCGGUGGCGAAGGCGGGUCUCUGGGCCGAUACUGACGCUGAGGUGCGAAAGCGUGGGGAGCAAACAGG